rnacentral:lncRNA from 10 species
AGCACUUUCUUGUUGUGAGAUUCUUACAUAACCAGAUUAGGGUUUUCAGUUUUUGUACUUAUCUCAACUUUAUUUCUACUUUGUUCACUUUCUCUUCUAUUUAUGGGUCUCAGAUAAUGUCAUGACCUCAACACUUCUUUUGUAUUAUGACAAUGGAAAUUAAACACACUCAGAAAAUGGCAAAACUCUCAAUCUAAUAGGAAAUACCCAUCCAAAUGAGGCUCAAUGUUGAAAUAACAACCUAUCUGAGUCUCAAUCUAUGUCUCUUUUAAAAUUCUAAUAAGUAUACUUAGAGGUUUGAUCUUGGACAUUUUUACUUCUUAAACUGCACUGAAAUACAUGUUUCCUCACCUCUCUGCAUUUCUCUUUUAAGUGGCUAAUACACUAGGUUUGAUUUCUUCCACCUUUCUUUACAAGAGCCACAGCUUAUAAUCUGUAGAUAACGGUGGCAUAAAACUCGAAAACCCAGGGUUAAGUCAUCCAGUUGUCUUUGUUCUGUCACUAAAAAUGUCUUUACUGCAUAUAUGUGACAGACAAUAGGCUUGGCAAUUUAGAUUAACAGAUAAGUAAUACAGGAUGAUGACUACCCUCCAUGGAUUCAAAGAAUGGCAUUUAAGACAUGAUUGUGAUUAAUUAAACACUAGCAUGCUCAGUGCAGCCAAGAGGAAGAACUGAAAGCUAAUGAAGAGGGAAAUUGGGAGGCAGUAGAAACUGCCACUUUGUGACAACAUCUGUGGCUCCUGGGAGCUUAAACAACAUCAGAUUUUCCUUUCCUCUUCUGCAAAAUUGAGACAAUUUUAAUAGUUGUCACAUAGGAAACUGCAAAGAUGAAAUAAAAUAAAGUUUGCAAAUUACUGGCUGAGAAUCUGAACAUGGUAAAUGAUAGUUACCUUUAAUUUCAAUGUAAUAAAUAACAUAAUCCUGUAUAGUCCACAUUUAACCAAAUCCAGACAAGAGAAGCUUUGAUUGCAGCUCCCCUGACAUUCCUGAGGUCUAACACGUUGAUGUCCCUCAAAUUGAAACUCUAGGAAAGGGGACUGUCUGUAAAACUGUGAAGGAGCAGAGCCCAGGUUCCCAUUGUCAGAGUAGUGCCUUGCACAGAGGAAAAAUUGUACAGCCCCCAUGAAGCUUGUUCCAGGGAACCAGUGUCUCAGCAAGUUGCGAUAGAAAAUGGCUGCUCUGUGAAUAGUAUAAAUAAAUAAAAUAAUCCCUUUACUCAGAUUCAGUUAGUUUCAAAUCACCAUUGAUGAUUAUUUUUAGGCCCAAGUAAAACAUAUUUUGUAAACCAUUUUCCUAGCCUUUACAACUCUCUAACUCAACC